GUACUCGCUUCGGCAGUACAUAUACUAAAAUUGGAACGAUAGAGAGAAGAUUAGCAUGGCCCCUGCACAAGGAUGAUACGCAAAAAGCCGGCACGGUAGCUCAGCGUGU